UCGAGCUCAUACCUGAGACUGUGCUAUAGAACUCAUGGAGGAAAGCAAAAGGGAUGAGCUGGGGACAAAAGACUUCUAUACACCUGCAAGAGAAGGGGCAUCUCUUUGUCUUUUCAGAAGACUCAAGUGUCCAAGGCCAGGUUGGAUUUGGCUUUGAACAGCCUUGUCUGGCAGAAGGGGUCCCUGACUGUGGCAAGGCUCUUGAACUGGAUGAUGUUUUUUCUUAACAGAAGUAGGAACACAACUGCCUUCUGCUUGGAUGAAAAACAAGUCCCAUUUAGCUUCAUCCAGAUGAAAGGACUUUUCCUUUGAAAUUUCCACUUCCCCCUCAACAACCAUUUAGUGUCAUGGAAAGCAGAAUGGAUGCAAGAGGAGACUGGAGCAAUCAACUCAAAAUCAGCCACCCUGUACCAGCUGUGGUCAUCUGAGAGACACCAAAGACUUCCUCUAACAUCCUCCUCAAGGAGCUGCACUAAGGAAAGAAAUUCAAGUGUGCCCACACAAGUGUUUGACAGCUGUGGAAAUUACACAUUGUCCUCAUGCAACAGAAGAUAUGUUCAGCAAAAAGGAUAUUUCCUGCAGAGUCUCUGAAGGUACCGGAUACUAUCAGUAAAUAAAUAUGAUCUAUCACACAAAGGCAGACACCAGAAAACUCAGAGCUGUGACCAUCUAAAGCGAAUAUCCACCCAUGAAUCUGUGUGCUCCCUGAACAAGAUGUGGUCUCUGUAACAGUAGAUGGAUUCCUUCCUGCAGCAGGCUGAACCAGAGAAAAUCACAGCAAGUCCUCUCCAGCAGCAAGACAGCGUGUGCAGCCCGCAUGAUUGUGGUGUUCCUGUCUUCUAUGCAGAUAUUUACAAUAUGCACUUACACGGUGCUCCACAAUGGCAAAACCAGGCCCUAAUUGUAUUUGAUAAUCAAAUCUGCUUCUCCACUCAGGUAUUGUACAGCUGGCAAUUCAGAAUGGAUAUAACAAAUAGGUUUUUUUUAUAU